rnacentral:rRNA from 1 species
GACAGAGGGUGCAAACGUUGUUCGGAAUUACUGGGCGUAAAGCGCGUGUAGGCGGCCCUGCAAGUCGGGUGUGAAAUCCCACGGCUCAACCGUGGAAGUGCACUCGAAACUGCAGGGCUAGAGUCCUGGAGAGGAAGGUGGAAUGCUUGGUGUAGAGGUGAAAUUCGUAGAUAUCAAGCGGAACACCGGUGGCGAAGGCGGGUCUCUGGGCCGAUACUGACGCUGAGGAGCGAAAGCGUGGGGAGCGAACAGG